UACGGAGGGGACUAGCGUUGUUCGGAAUUACUGGGCGUAAAGCGCACGUAGGCGGAUUUGUAAGUCAGGGGUGAAACCCCGGGGCUCAACCUCGGAACUGCCUUUGAUACUGCAAAUCUCGAGUCCGGAAGAGGUGAGUGGAAUUCCUAGUGUAGAGGUGAAAUUCGUAGAUAUUAGGAAGAACACCAGUGGCGAAGGCGGCUCACUGGUCCGGUACUGACGCUGAGGUGCGAAAGCGUGGGGAGCAAACAGG
rnacentral:rRNA from 1 species